UACGUAGGGCGCAAGCGUUGUCCGGAAUUAUUGGGCGUAAAGAGCUCGUAGGCGGUUUGUCGCGUCGGCCGUGAAAUCUCCACGCUUAACGUGGAGCGUGCGGUCGAUACGGGCAGACUUGAGUUCGGUAGGGGAGACUGGAAUUCCUGGUGUAGCGGUGAAAUGCGCAGAUAUCAGGAGGAACACCGGUGGCGAAGGCGGAUCUCUGGGCCGAUACUGACGCUGAGGAGCGAAAGCCAGGGGAGCGAACGGG
rnacentral:rRNA from 1 species